rnacentral:rRNA from 1 species
UACGGAGGGGGCUAGCGUUGUUCGGAAUUACUGGGCGUAAAGCGCGCGUAGGCUGCUUGGAAAGUCGGGGGUGAAAUCCCGGGGCUCAACCUCGGAACUGCCUUUAAAACUGCCAUUCUGGAGUUCGGGAGAGGUGAGUGGAAUUCCGAGUGUAGAGGUGAAAUUCGUAGAUAUUGGGAGGAACACCAGUGGCGAAGGCGGCUCACUGGCUCGUUACUGACGCUGAGGUACGAAAGCGUGGGGAGCAAACAGG